rnacentral:rRNA from 1 species
AGCGAACGCUGGCGGCAGGCCUAACACAUGCAAGUCGAACGAACUCUUCGGAGUUGGUGGCGGACGGGGGAGUCACAUGGGGGAAGGGGCCGGUUGGCUCGGAAUAACACAGUGAAACUGGGGCUAAUACCGAAUGAGUCAUUCUAGGGAAAGAUUUAACGCACUGGGAGCGGCCGGCGUCUGAUGAGCUUGUUGGUGAGGUAACGGCUCACCAAGGCGACGAUCAGUAGCUGGUCUGAGAGGAUGACCAGCCACACUGAGACUGAGACACGGCGCAGACUCUUACGGGAGGCAGGAGUGGGUGAUCUUGCGAUAUCGGCGAAAGCAUGACGCAGCCAUGCCUCGUGAAUGAUGUAGGUGUUAGGAUUGUAAAAUUCUUUAACCGCGGACGAUAAUGACGGUACCCGGAGAAGAAGCCCCGGCUAACUUCGUG